rnacentral:rRNA from 1 species
ACGGGUGAGUAACACGUAUGCAAUCCACCUGUAACAGGGGGAUAACCCGGAGAAAUCCGGACUAAUACCCCAUAAUAUGGGCGCUCCGCAUGGAGAGUCCAUUAAAGAGAGCAAUCUUGGUUACAGACGAGCAUGCGCUCCAUUAGCCAGUUGGCGGGGUAACGGCCCACCAAAGCGACGAUGGAUAGGGGUUCUGAGAGGAAGGUCCCCCACAUUGGAACUGAGACACGGUCCAA